rnacentral:misc_RNA from 1 species
UCGUAACAAGGUUUCCGUAGGUGAACCUGCGGAAGGAUCAUUACCGAGUGAGGGCCCUCUGGGUCCAACCUCCCACCCGUGUUUAUCGUACCUUGUUGCUUCGGCGGGCCCGCCGCAAGGCCGCCGGGGGGCAUCUGCCCUCUGGCCCGCGCCCGCCGAAGACACCAUUGAACGCUGUCUGAAGAUUGCAGUCUGAGCAAUUAGUUAAAUAACUUAAAACUUUCAACAACGGAUCUCUUGGUUCCGGCAUCGAUGAAGAACGCAGCGAAAUGCGAUACGUAAUGUGAAUUGCAGAAUUCAGUGAAUCAUCGAGUCUUUGAACGCACAUUGCGCCCCCUGGUAUUCCGGGGGGCAUGCCUGUCCGAGCGUCAUUGCUGCCCUCAAGCACGGCUUGUGUGUUGGGCUCCGUCCUCCUUCCGGGGGACGGGCCCGAAAGGCAGCGGCGGCACCGCGUCCGGUCCUCGAGCGUAUGGGGCUUCGUCACCCGCUCUGUAGGCCCGGCCGGCGCUUGCCGACACAUCAAUCUUUUUUCCAGGUUGACCUCGGAUCAGGUAGGGAUACCCGCUGAACUUAAGCAUAUC